GUCUACAUGUCAGAUUUGACAGAACUUUUUAGUUGGACAUGUCCUAGUUGAUAUGGAAAGACGAAGGGGUUUGAAGUCAUGUUGAUGUCCAACUUGCUUAUAGGUAUAUAAUUCGUGUUGUAGUGGCCUACCAAUUGGCAACGCUUCUGAUGCCUCUGAUGACUUGAUCUUGUGGUAUGGCUGUCUGAUAUUGGAUUUGGUAGUCUGGUUUAUCAGGUCGAGAAAGUUUGUGAUGGCUCUAGAGAAGAUCCAUUGUGCAGCAGGUAAGGAGGUGGUCUCAGUCGUAGCUACCUGUUACAAGCAAUUAUUUUGUGGACUUAUCAUGCUAGGUGCAAUAAGUCAUGUGACAGACCAGCUUGUUCCAGAGAAUGCCAAUCCUUUAUUACCGGAAAUAUUUACAGACAACUUAUCAAAGUGUGUUUCUACAUAUUCUACUAUGGUGUGGAAUUAAUGGCGGAGACAUGGGGAUUGUGCAAAAUCGUCAUGGACCCACGAUUGAAGGAAUAUGGAAGCGAAGACAAAGGAAACCUUAUGCUUUCCAGGAUUGCUUCUGCUUCUGCAUUGGGGCUGCGUUAAGACUCCGAUGCCAAGAGUCAAUUAAAGUAAAUUGCUCCUAAGUCAGCACCUAAUUUCUUGAAGAUCACUAGGUAGCUCUAGAUGAAGUUUGUACAUGUAAUGCAUUCCAUCAAUCUGUUUUCAUAUCCAUCACAAGAUGCACAGAUCUCUACUGAAAUUCACUCGGAAUGUAAAUAGCAUAUAGCUGAAUGUAUCAUCCUCGUAAAUACAACUCCGUGAAACCUAUUAAAUGAAUGCGCUCGCAAGUUUACCUGUUAA